rnacentral:rRNA from 1 species
GGAAGUAAAAGUCGUAACAAGGUUUCCGUAGGUGAACCUGCGGAAGGAUCAUUACCGAGUGAGGGCCCUCUGGGUCCAACCUCCCACCCGUGUUUAUUUUACCUUGUUGCUUCGGCGGGCCCGCCUCAACUGGCCGCCGGGGGGCUUACGCCCCCGGGCCCGCGCCCGCCGAAGACACCCUCGAACUCUGUCUGAAGAUUGUAGUCUGAGUGAAAAUAUAAAUUAUUUAAAACUUUCAACAACGGAUCUCUUGGUUCCGGCAUCGAUGAAGAACGCAGCGAAAUGCGAUACGUAAUGUGAAUUGCAAAUUCAGUGAAUCAUCGAGUCUUUGAACGCACAUUGCGCCCCCUGGUAUUCCGGGGGGCAUGCCUGUCCGAGCGUCAUUGCUGCCCUCAAGCACGGCUUGUGUGUUGGGCCCCGUCCUCCGAUCCCGGGGGACGGGCCCGAAAGGCAGCGGCGGCACCGCGUCCGGUCCUCGAGCGUAUGGGGCUUUGUCACCCGCUCUGUAGGCCCGGCCGGCGCUUGCCGAUCAACCCAAAUUUUUAUCCAGGUUGACCUCGGAUCAGGUAGGGAUACCCGCUGAACUUAAGCAUAUCAAUAAGCGGAGGA